rnacentral:rRNA from 1 species
GAAAUUAUUCACCCUUGUCUUUUGCGUACUUCUUGUUUCCUUGGUGGGUUCGCCCACCACUAGGACAAACAUAAACCUUUUGUAAUUGCAAUCAGCGUCAGUAACAAAUUAAUAAUUACAACUUUCAACAACGGAUCUCUUGGUUCUGGCAUCGAUGAAGAACGCAGCGAAAUGCGAUAAGUAGUGUGAAUUGCAGAAUUCAGUGAAUCAUCGAAUCUUUGAACGCACAUUGCGCCCUUUGGUAUUCCAAAGGGCAUGCCUGUUCGAGCGUCAUUUGUACCCUCAAGCUUUGCUUGGUGUUGGGCGUCUUGUCUCUAGCUUUGCUGGAGACUCGCCUUAAAGUAAUUGGCAGCCGGCCUACUGGUUUCGGAGCGCAGCACAAGUCGCACUCUCUAUCAGCAAAGGCCUAGCAUCCAUUAAGCCUUUUUUCAACUUUUGACCUCGGAUCAGGUAGGGAUACCCGCUGAACUUAAGCAUAUC